UUGAUCAUGGCUCAGAUUGAACGCUGGCGGCAGGCUUAACACAUGCAAGUCGAGCGGAGAGAAGUAGCUUGCUACUGAUUUUAGCGGCGGACGGGUGAGUAAUACUUAGGAAUCUGGCUAUUAGUGGGGGACAACAUUUCGAAAGGGAUGCUGAUACCGCAUACGUCCUACGGGAGAAAGCAGGGGAUCAGUAAUGACCUUGCGCUAAUAGAUGAGCCUAAGUCGGAUUAGCUAGUUGGUGGGGUAAAGGCCUACCAAGGCGACGAUCUGUAGCGGGUCUGAGAGGAUGAUCCGCCACACUGGGACUGAGACACGGCCCAGACUCCUACGGGAGGCAGCAGUGGGGAAUAUUGGACAAUGGGGGGAACCCUGAUCCAGCCAUGCCGCGUGUGUGAAGAAGGCCUUAUGGUUGUAAAGCACUUUAAGCGAGGAGGAGGGUACUGGUAUUAAUACUACCAGCUACUGGACGUUACUCGCAGAAUAAGCACCGGCUAACUCUGUGCCAGCAGCCGCGGUAAUACAGAGGGUGCGAGCGUUAAUCGGAUUUACUGGGCGUAAAGCGUGCGUAGGCGGCUAAUUGAGUCGGAUGUGAAAUCCCCGAGCUUAACUUGGGAAUUGCAUUCGAUACUGGUUAGCUAGAGUGUGGGAGAGGAUGGUAGAAUUCCAGGUGUAGCGGUGAAAUGCGUAGAGAUCUGGAGGAAUACCGAUGGCGAAGGCAGCCAUCUGGCCUAACACUGACGCUGAGGUACGAAAGCAUGG
rnacentral:rRNA from 1 species